rnacentral:rRNA from 1 species
UACAGAGGGUGCGAGCGUUAAUCGGAAUUACUGGGCGUAAAGCGCGCGUAGGCGGCUUUUCAAGUCGAUUGUGAAAUCCCCGGGCUUAACCUGGGAACUGCAGUCGAGACUGUCUAGCUAGAGUAUGGGAGAGGGAAGUGGAAUUUCAGGUGUAGCGGUGAAAUGCGUAGAUAUCUGGAGGAACACCGGUGGCGAAGGCGGCAUCCUGGACCAACACUGACACUGAGGAGCGAAAGCCAGGGGAGCAAACGGG